rnacentral:rRNA from 1 species
UGUGGAGGAACACCAGUGGCGAAGGCGACUCUCUGGUCUGUAACUGACGCUGAGGAGCGAAAGCGUGGGGAGCGAACAGGAUUAGAUACCCUGGUAGUCCACGCCGUAAACGAUGAGUGCUAAGUGUUAGAGGGUUUCCGCCCUUUAGUGCUGCAGCAAACGCAUUAAGCACUCCGCCUGGGGAGUACGGCCGCAAGGCUGAAACUCAAAGGAAUUGACGGGGGCCCGCACAAGCGGUGGAGCAUGUGGUUUAAUUCGAUGCAACGCGAAGAACCUUACCUGGCCUUGACAUGUCUGGAAUCCUGCAGAGAUGCGGGAGUGCCUUCGGGAAUCAGAACACAGGUGCUGCAUGGCUGUCGUCAGCUCGUGUCGUGAGAUGUUGGGUUAAGUCCCGCAACGAGCGCAACCCUUGUCCUUAGUUGCCAGCAUUCAGUUGGGCACUCUAAGGAGACUGCCGGUGACAAACCGGAGGAAGGUGGGGAUGACGUCAAAUCAUCAUGCCCCUUAUGACCUGGGCUACACACGUGCUACAAUGGAUGGUACAAAGAGCUGCGAACCCGCGAGGGUAAGCGAAUCUCAUAAAGCCAUUCUCAGUUCGGAUUGUAGGCUGCAACUCGCCUACAUGAAGUCGGAGUUGCUAGUAAUCGCGGAUCAGCCAUGCCGCGGUGAAUGCGUUCCCGGGCCUUGUACACACCGCCCGUCACACCAUGGGAGUUGGGAGCACCCGAAGUCAGCCCCUAAU